CUCUUGCAGCUGUAUGCAUCUGGAACAGUGCGUCCUGGGGGAGCUGCACAAACACAGGGCGCACUGAGGGGUCGGAUGCUGAGGGGGGAACCAGGACAGCUGAGGAUGCCCCAGCCUGUGAGAUGCCUUUCCAUCCAAACUGAUUCUUUGGGGACAUGAGCUAUUAUCUUCACCACUUCAGAGAUGCUGAAGCAGAGGCUCAGGAGAUUAGGAUGAGCAGCCUGGAGCACACAGCAGGAAGGGCUCAACCCCCGGAAGACAUGAUGGAGAGGAUGCAAAGCAUGGAGAGCCAACGCAGCCCCCUCUGGCCCUCUGUCCUAGUGUGAUCUGAAUGCAGGCAUCAGGAGGCAGUUGAGCAUGAGGGGGUUGGCUUCCUGACCUUGGUGCUUAAAACAAAUGCUCACAUGGUUGAAGCUACCUAGUCCAUCUUUGGAAAACUGAGAAGCACCAAGACCCUCACAGACCUUUGGUUUGCCAAAGAGAUGGGCUCACACAGCUUCUGCCUCUGAAUGACGAUGCUGGUCACACAGAUUACGCCUGACAGCUCCGGAGCCUCUCUCUGACUUUCUGCUGAUAUUGGGGUGAACUUCAAACACAGCCGAGACUCCAAGUGCAUCUUAUUAGCAUGAGUUGCUGGCCGGAACAAAGUCUGUCAAAUUAUUUGAUAAAGAUCUGUUCAUUACCCUUAUCCAGCCCAAAGGAAAAUAUAACUGAAAUGCGGUCACAUGCUGCCGGA